rnacentral:rRNA from 1 species
GGUGAACGCUGGCGGUAUGCCUAAUACAUGCAAGUCGAACGGCCGCACAGGAAGCUUUUGCCUCUACGGUUGGCGGGUGGCGGGUGGGUGAGGAAUAGAUAAGCUUCUUCUUUUUCGGGGGGGAUAUCGGGGGGAAGGUUACGCUAAUACCGCAUACGUUCAACGGGUGGAAGCAGGGGAACUUGGGGCUUUGCGCGAUUGAAUGAGCCGAUGCCGCAUUAGCUAGUUGGCUGGGUAAGGGCCCACCAAGGCAACGAUCCGUAGCUGGUCUGAGAGGAUGAUCAGCCACACUGGAACUGAGACACGGUCCAGACUCCUACGGGAGGCAGCAGUGGGGAAUAUUCGGCAAUGGGCGCAAGCCUGACGCAGCCACGCCGCGUGAGUGAUGAAGGCCUUCGGAUCGUAAAACCCUUUUAUUAGGGAAGAAAAACUGCAGAAGUAUACAUGCAUGUUCUGACGGUACCCAAACAGAAAGCAACGGCUAACUACGUG